UAUAUUAAGUUGUGAUUUCAAGUCAUUAUGUCCAAGCCAAAGCUUCAGCAUUAACAGGAAGUAGAUAACUCUCCCUUUUCAGUCUCUUUCUAAUAUUAUAAACCAGAGAGAGAGCUUUUCCGUCAUCAAUGGCAAACAAUGGAAAACUUACCACAAUUCUUAGCAUUAAUGGUGGAGGAGAAAGGCAUCAUUCCUGGGAAAGUCUUAGCCUUUCUUGAAUCUCAGCUCCAGACAAUGCUCCAUUGCCGGAUAUCUGCAUGGGCACAUCUGCCGCGCCAUUCUAUUUACCUCCCCAUCAUUUUGAAGUGAACUCAUCAAAAGGCACCAAGAGAUUCAAC